AUUGAACGCUGGCGGCAUGCCUUACACAUGCAAGUCGAACGGUAACAGGUCUUCGGAUGCUGACGAGUGGCGAACGGGUGAGUAAUACAUCGGAACGUGCCCGAGAGUGGGGGAUAACGAAGCGAAAGCUUUGCUAAUACCGCAUACGAUCUCAGGAUGAAAGCAGGGGACCGCAAGGCCUUGCGCUCACGGAGCGGCCGAUGGCAGAUUAGGUAGUUGGUGGGAUAAAAGCUUACCAAGCCGACGAUCUGUAGCUGGUCUGAGAGGACGACCAGCCACACUGGGACUGAGACACGGCCCAGACUCCUACGGGAGGCAGCAGUGGGGAAUUUUGGACAAUGGGCGCAAGCCUGAUCCAGCCAUGCCGCGUGCAGGAUGAAGGCCUUCGGGUUGUAAACUGCUUUGUACGGAACGAAAAGAACUCUGGUUAAUACCUGGGUCCAUGACGGUACCGUAAGAAUAAGCAACCGGCUAACUAACGUGCCAGCAGCCG
rnacentral:rRNA from 1 species